ACAGGAAGCAGCUUGCUGCUUCGCUGACGAGUGGCGGACGGGUGAGUAAUGUCUGGGAAGCUGCCUGAUGGAGGGGGAUAACUACUGGAAACGGUAGCUAAUACCGCAUAAUGUCGCAAGACCAAAGAGGGGGACCUUCGGGCCUCUUGCCAUCGGAUGUGCCCAGAUGGGAUUAGCUUGUUGGUGGGGUAACGGCUCACCAAGGCGACGAUCCCUAGCUGGUCUGAGAGGAUGACCAGCCACACUGGAACUGAGACACGGUCCAGACUCCUACGGGAGGCAGCAGUGGGGAAUGUUGCACAAUGGGCGCAAGCCUGAUGCAGCCAUGCCGCGUGUAUGAAGAAGGCCUUCGGGUUGUAAAGUACUUUCAGCGGGGAGGAAGGGAGUAAAGUUAAUACCUUUGCUCAUUGACGUUACCCGCAGAAGAAGCACCGGCUAACUCCGUGCCAGCAGCCGCGGUAAUACGGAGGGUGCAAGCGUUAAUCGGAAUUACUGGGCGUAAAGCGCACGCAGGCGGUUUGUUAAGUCAGAUGUGAAAUCCCCGGGCUCAACCUGGGAACUGCAUCUGAUACUGGCAAGCUUGAGUCUCGUAGAGGGGGGUAGAAUUCCAGGUGUAGCGGUGAAAUGCGUAGAGAUCUGGAGGAAUACCGGUGGCGAAGGCGGCCCCCUGGACGAAGACUGACGCUCAGGUGCGAAAGCGUGGGGAGCAAACAGGAUUAGAUACCCUGGUAGUCCACGCCGUAAACGAUGUCGACUUGGAGGUUGUGCCCUUGAGGCGUGGCUUCCGGAGCUAACGCGUUAAGUCGACCGCCUGGGGAGUACGGCCGCAAGGUUAAAACUCAAAUGAAUUGACGGGGGCCCGCACAAGCGGUGGAGCAUGUGGUUUAAUUCGAUGCAACGCGAAGAACCUUACCUGGUCUUGACAUCCACGGAAGUUUUCAGAGAUGAGAAUGUGCCUUCGGGAACCGUGAGACAGGUGCUGCAUGGCUGUCGUCAGCUCGUGUUGUGAAAUGUUGGGUUAAGUCCCGCAACGAGCGCAACCCUUAUCCUUUGUUGCCAGCGGUCCGGCCGGGAACUCAAAGGAGACUGCCAGUGAUAAACUGGAGGAAGGUGGGGAUGACGUCAAGUCACCAUGGCCCUUACGACCAGGGCUACACACGUGCUACAAUGGCGCAUACAAAGAGAAGCGACCUCGCGAGAGCAAGCGGACCUCAUAAAGUGCGUCGUAGUCCGGAUUGGAGUCUGCAACUCGACUCCAUGAAGUCGGAAUCGCUAGUAAUCGUGGAUCAGAAUGCCACGGUGAAUACGUUCCCGGGCCUUGUACACACCGCCCGUCACACCAUGGGAGUGGGUUGCAAAAGAAGUAGGUAGCUUAACCUUCGGGAGGGCGCUUACCACUUUGUGAUUCAUGACUGGGGUGAAGUCGUAACAAGGUA
rnacentral:rRNA from 1 species